rnacentral:pre_miRNA from 1 species
AAAACAUUCAGGACCAUCGGUCUACCGAGCAAUAUCACCCGCUCGGUGGAAGAUUUUCCCUUCGUCAU